GGCUAGGGCAAUGCUACCCUGAACACACCCAAUCCCGUCUGAUCUCAGAAGCUAAGCAGGGUCCGGCCUUGGAUGGGAGACCACCUAGGAAGACCAGGUGCUAUAGGCA
rnacentral:rRNA from 1 species